AUGCAUGUCAUUUUUUGUAUAUCAUCAUCUUGCUAUCAUACAACUAACUCUUUGUUUCAUCUCUCAAUAGCUUUCAUUUUCAACUAUGGCUUCUUUCGGCAUGGUUUCUCUUUUUGCAGUUUUGCUUGUGGCUUUUUGUGUAUCAAACUCAGAAGCAUGCACUCGUGACAUAGAUUGUUUGGGCCAGUGUAAACAUGGUGGCUUUUGUGACAUGAUAACUAAAAAAUGUAGUUGCUUGCCGGUGUCAGAGCAGCUACCAUCUAACAUUGCAACAACGGUGGAUGCUCUGCAACGAUGAUUGAAACGGCAAAAGAUUGCCGACCAGCUUGUUAAGCCCAUAACAUUCAAGGUGGCAUUUGUGUCUACAAGCGUUGUGCUUGAGAAAAAUAAUUUUUUUUCAAAAAACUCUAAAUUUAAGCCUUUCAACAAUGUCAUAUAUUAUAAGAUAAACUUUGUAUCCAAAAAAUUGGCAAAUAAAAUAUUAGUGAAUAAAAAGGUUGUUAAAGAGAA